CAUAAUCAUUAGUUUUUUAAUUGGAAACUUGUAUGAAUGGUUGAACAAAAGAAAUUCUGUCUCUAUUUUAGAAUUUGAAUUUAACUUUUAAGUGAAAAGGCUUAAAUUUUUCAAGGGGACGAUAAGACCCUAUAAAGCUUUAUAAAUAACUAAAUGUUUUUUAAAUUAUAAAAUAAAAAAAAAAUUUAGAGGUUUAUUAUGUUGGGGCGACACGGAUAUAAAUAAAAAUAACUAUCAGAAAGAAAAACAAUAAUUUUUGAAUUUUAUGAUCCUUAUGAAAGAUUAUAAGACUAAGUUACUUUAGGGAUAACAGCGUAAUUCUUUUUGAGAGUUCAUAUCGAAAAGAGAGUUUGCGACCUCGAUGUUGAAUCAUAAAAUCUUUAUAGUGCAGCAGUUAUAAAAG
rnacentral:rRNA from 1 species